GGGUGCUGGGAGGGUUCAACACUGGCGGAGCCCCAGGUGGCGACGCGGGCGGCGAGAGCUGCUCCGAGGCGGGGGCCUCGGGCAGGUCGCUCUCCACGCAGUACACGGAGCAGAAGACUUGUCUCUUGGCGAGGGACGGGCGCCGCUGACCCAGCACGUCCAGGACCAGUCCGUCGGCGGCCCCCACGCGGGUCCUGGGCUCCAGCUCUUCGCCGGGGGGCGCCUCCUGCUGUUCAUCCCCUCCCUCUUUUCGAUCCCCAGCUUCCUCCUCUUCCUCCUCCAGCUCCAACUGCAGUGGCAAGGUCUGGGGAUUGAGAGGCCCGGCAUGACUAAGAGAUAUCGUGAAAUUACAACUCAACAAUGAAUUACAGCACAGGCUUUUCACAACUAAGAGACUGUCCAUCAUGGUGCCAGUUUUUCUCAAAAUGGCAUGUGUGCAUGAAAUUCUACAGGCAUAUGGGGUCGUGAUCUGCUAAUCUCCAGUUAUUAUAACUACUUUGAAAAGGGACUUUCCAGCUAUCAGUACACUAUCUCACAAUUACCCUUGAACCAGAAGACAAUGAAUGAUUUGCUAAACAGAUGGCAUAGUCUAUGACAUGCAUCAUAUGUGUGAGCAAUCACAGAAGGUAUGACUUUUCUCAUGAAAUAUUUUCAGACAAAUAUUUUAAGUUAAUCUAACAUUCACUAAAUCUACCUACUGAUUUUAGGUAGAUUUUCUUUCUCCAAAUAUACAUUUUUAAAUAAAAAUUUUCAUUGUAUUGCAUUGUAUUUUAUUGGUUAUCAACAGCACCAUGUUCUUAGUUUUUUUAAAAAAAAUGUUUAAUGAGUUGUAAUAUUUGUGUCUUUAAGCAAGGGGUUCCCUCAUUUUUCCUGUCUUUUCUGGCUUGAUUUGAAGUUAUUCCUGGGUAUCAAUAUUCUACACACAUUGUCUACUGCUUACCUCCAACACAGCAGUUUUCACUGUCAUGUAAUUAUUUGUUUGCUCAUCGCUCUUCCCCAUGACCAUCAACUCCUUGAAGGUAGGGCCAUUAUUUAUACAUCUUAUAACUGAAGCUUACAGCAUCAGAUCAGUUAUAUGAUCAGAACACAAUGUUUGUUGUAGAAUAAAUGAAUAAACUUUGUUAAUUCACUCAGGUCUAACUAGUCUCCUACAUGAUGAAAUAUAGCUAAGAAAAUUCAAAGUAGAGUUCCACAAAAGAAAAACAAAGUAAAUAUCAAUUUAUUAAUUUAUAAUUUGAUCCAAAGACCAAUUUCCAAGAGGCUCUCUCAGGUACCAAAUUGCUGAAGUCCUUUUCUAGGACAUCUCCCUUCCUGGUGUCAAAGUACGUGGAAAACUGAAGCUUUAAGCAAAAGAUGGCUUGGGUAUAUAUUUAACCUAGCUUCUGUUGAAGCAUCACUAGUCUGCAAAUACCACAUUUCUCUAGUGACCAUCUUCAUGUCUCUGAGCCUUAAAGAAUACUGGUUAAAACACUAACAGAUAUUAUGUUUCUGAAUAUGUGCUUUAUUUGCUAGUUAUCCUAUUUCUAAUGACAUAUUCAGUAGAUUUGUUUAUGUUGUAAAAUGAAGUGCUAUCAAUUUAUUGUUAUCAUGAACAGUCAGAAUAAAUAUUGAAACCUCUUAUUUGGGCAAAAA
ensembl:lncRNA RNF217-AS1 RNF217 antisense RNA 1 (head to head)